AAGGAUCAUUAUUGAAUAAACAUUUGAUAGGCUGUUGCUGGCCCCUUCUGGGGUAUUGUGCACGCUUGUCAUUCAUUUAUUUAUUUCCACCUGUGCACCUUUUUGUAGACCCUUAGAGAAAAGCAAAUCAAUUGUUUCGAGCAAUUGGGAUAGGGACUGCUGUGCUGUGAAGUGCCAGCUUUUCCUUGUUUCUCUAGGUUCUAUGUUAUUCACAUACUCCUAUGAAUGUAAUAGAAUGUUGAUCUGGGUCUUUGAUGCCCAUAAAGUUAUAUACAACUUUCAGCAAUGGAUCUCUUGGCUCUC
rnacentral:misc_RNA from 1 species